UCAACGGCCGCGGUAUCCUAACCGUGCGAAGGUAGCGUAAUCACUUGUUCUCUAAAUCAGGACUAGUAUGAACGGCACUACGAGGGUUACACUGUCUCCUUUUUCUAAUUAGUGAACUUAAUCUUCCCGUGAAGAAGCGGGAAUAAACUUAUAAGACGAGAAGACCCUAUGGAGCUUUAAACAAUCUAGCACUUGCCUACCAUCUUAAUAUUUUCAGAAUCACUAGACUGCAUAAUGACUAGAAGUUUUAGGUUGGGGUGACCGCGGAGUAAAACUCAUCCUCCACAAUGAAAGAACCUUAAUUCUUAACUAAGAUAUACUUAUCUAUGUAUCAGCUUACUGACAUCUAUUGACCCAAUAUAU
rnacentral:rRNA from 1 species